rnacentral:lncRNA from 1 species
GGAACUGAUAGCAAAAUUCCUUGAACUUUGCAUGGGGAUAAUAAAAUAUGAGCUGUACAACAGAUGAUGGUAAUUCAAAUACUGCGUUCUUUCAGAAAGAGAUGAUCAUAGCCAGUGGCAUACCAGUUUCCCCUUUCUAAACAUUAUCAGGAGAUGGUAAUCAGGUAAAAGAACAGUGAUUGCAUCAGAUGUCAGACAGGAACUGGCUAUUAUAAAGGAGAGAGCAAGAUGGGGAGAGGAAAUAGAAGAAAGAAAAGGUCGCUGCAGAGUGGAGAGUUGUCAUUAGCAGAAAAGCAGCAGGGUGAACUCAACCUGCCAAAAAAGGUUGUAUUUCGAAUUCAAAGACAAACUCAAGUUAUGAGAGAAACGAGUGAGGUCAUUUAGUAUUCUUACAACUGCCUAGGUUCUGCACUGUCUCAAAUGAAGGUUGGCGUGUGUAAGAAACCAAUAAAAAUGAGAACACUUGCACUGCUGGGGAGCGGCAUGGGCAGAGGGCCCUGGCGGGAGGCGAGGGGUGAGAGGCGGGUGGUGCUGGGCAGGCAGGGCUGUGCCAUCACCCCAUGGAGCACUCCUUCCCUGCCACGGCACCACGGGCAGAGCUGUCCCAGGUAGCUGGGCUCAGACAGCCCCGACAGACUGACAAAUCUGCAGUGACCGGGCAGGCCCAAGCUCAGGCCGACACGGCUGGCCCACAGGUGGGAUCCACGGUCAGGUACUGGCCCCAGGGCCUCAGCUUAGAGCAGCUCCCAGGGAAAUUGGGCUCAGCCCUGACUGAGGCAUCUUCUAGUCACAAAAAACCUCUGUGCCAAAGAGGUAUGGUCUGGAGAUGUGAACUGGCGAUUGGCAACGGGACCAAAGUUUCCCAGAUGUACUUGAUUUCAUCUGGGAUCUUUCAUACGACUUUGUUGUCCAUCACUGAAGAAUCGUUUCGGUUCUGCCUUGGUCAUUACUGAGGAGGUGGAAUGGUGACUGCUGUGACUUAGUCCUAGCUCCAGAUAUGCUGCAGACCAGGCAGCCUCUUCUUGUCUUCUGCUGUGAGCCUAAAUUCCAGAAGAAAAAGAACUUUUCAUGCAGAAAAUCAAAGUACAGAAGCACUCUGCUGACCACACCAUCUCAGCUAAUCUGGGAGGUAACUGGCAUAAGAGACAGCCUGUCACCUCUCCCAGUUUUUGAGGAGCAGAGCAUUUCCGUGUCCAGGAAAACUGUUUGGGUGGUUAUGCGUCUCAGACUGUUUCAAGGCGUCUUUGUCUUCGAUGAGAUGUACUGUUUUGAGACAGACACUCAGUUUAUGGCAUUCUGAUAAACUCAGAGAAUGAACUCAGGAUUUUGCCGUGGGCUUUAAGUAGACUUGCAUAGCACAGUGCAUCUCUGCUGAGAUGUCCUCAGUUUCUGUACAAGUUUGACAUUUAAGCAGAGCCACAGUUACAUUACUGAACAUAUGUACAAUAAACCAUUGCAGUGUUAUAACCGACCUUAGGGU